UUGAUUGAGCAUAUGCUUCAAGUUCUCAAUCUCCUCAUUGUCUGUUUUAACACUUUUUAAACUGGGAAGAAGUUGCUUUGUUACCAUGUCUGCCUGGCACCGAAUUACCACCCAACAUCUACUAAAAAAAUAAACUGAGACUCAGCUUCAAUGUCAACUUAGGAAGUCUUUCAUAGAAUCCCUAAGAUGAGUGCUGAUGAAACAUAAGGAAAAGCUCUAGUUGAUAAGCUCCUGAGAUUAGGUACAGAGGAUUUUUAUAUUCCUUGGGAUGGAAGAGG